rnacentral:misc_RNA from 1 species
AAGGAGUCUAACAUGUCUGCGAGUGUUUGGGUGGUAAACCCGAGCGCAUAAUGAAAGUGAUAGCUGGGAAUCCUGUAAAAGGGAGGCACCGGUACCCCGAGCGGAUCUUCUGUGAUGCAUCGGAGGCAGAGCAUAUAUGUUGGGACCCGAAAGAUGGUGAACUAUGCCUGAAUAGGGUGAAGCCAGAGGAAACUCUGGUGGAGGCUCGUAGCGAUUCUGACGUGCAAAUCGAUCGUCAAAUUUGGGUAUAGGGGCGAAAGACUAAUCGAACCAUCUAGUAGCUGGUUCCUGC